AGAAUCAACGCUGGCGGCGUGCCUAACACAUGCAAGUCGAACGAGAAAGUGGAGCAAUCCAUGAGUAAAGUGGCGUACGGGUGAGUAACACGUGACUAACCUACCCUCGAGUGGGGAAUAACCUCGGGAAACCGGGGCUAAUACCGCAUAACAUCUUCGGAUCAAAUGCGUAAGCAGCUUGAGGAGGGGGUCGCGGCCGAUUAGCUAGUUGGCGGGGUAAUGGCCCACCAAGGCAAUGAUCGGUAGCCGGCCUGAGAGGGCGCACGGCCACACUGGAACUGAAACACGGUCCAGACUCCUACGGGAGGCAGCAGUGGGAAUUUUGCGCAAUGGGGGAAACCCUGACGCAGCAACGCCGCGUGGAGGAUGAAGCCCCUUGGGGUGUAAACUCCUUUCGAUCGGGACGAUUAUGACGGUACCGGAUGAAGAAGCACCGGCUAACUCUGUGCCAGCAGCCGC
rnacentral:rRNA from 1 species